GCUACAACUACACAAGUCAAUUUGCUGAAAUUGAGGGAAAAAUAUGAUGCAGAGUACAGAGCAUAGAGAAGUAGUAGUUAAUUUCAAUUUGGAAAGGAGGGAAGAGGCUUGUUGGUAACUUGAGAAGGGUACUGAAGCAUAGACAAGAUUUCAUGGGUAGCCAAGAGGGACAGUCACAAGGACCUUUUUCCAAGAAACAAGUCUUGCUCCGUCACCCAGGCUGCAGUGCGGUAGUGUGAUCUUGGCUCACUACAACCUCCAUCUUCAGGGUUCAAGUGAUUCCCUUGCCUCAGCCUCCCGAGUAACUGGGACUAUAGGCACACACCACCAUACCCAGAAGCAGUCAGCUGCCAUUUCAUGAGGAUGCUCAAGCAGCCCUCCAGGG
rnacentral:lncRNA from 13 species